ensembl:lncRNA
UUAUUACCAGCGCCAGGGAGGAAGUUUCUACCAGCGGGGAUUAUGCGCAGUUUCCUUGCCCAGAAGCUUUUGGGCUUUGUCCCCUCCCACUCUUGAAAAGCAGCGAUUCCACAAACUAGAGGUGGUGGGAAGGGAGGGGGGUGGGGGGUUAGUAAAAAAAAAAAAAAAAAAAAAAGCGGGGCAAACUUAAACCUGCUCCUUUUGCUAUGCCUUUUUCUCCCUCCUCGCUUUUUACGGAGCUAGAAGAAGGAGCACGUUUCGGCCGCGUUUUUGUACACCGGGCGGCACAGAAGUGCAUUGUGUUGGGACCGGAGCAGGGAGGGAGGAGGAGGAGGGUGCUGGAGGAGCACAGCUGCACGGCGCACAAGAGCCGGCAUCUCAGCCUGACAGGCAGGCGAGCAGCAAGAGGGAGAGAGCGAAACGAGGGCUCUUCCGCCGCACUCUUUGAGGGGGUUCCUCUCCGUCCAGCGUUCGCCCCCACCAACCCGACAAACUCACCAUUCCCCCACGUUACAGCAGCUCCGUCCGGGAUUUUUAUUUAUUUAUUUAAUUGUUUUCAAAUCAAAGCACUGAAAUGUGGAAUGGACGCGGACAAGAGAAAGGAUUCUGUUCUCCUCUUCUGUGGCUGGCUACUCAAAUUCAGUACAUGGGUGGAGCAGCAUCUGUUAAUGCAGUCCAGGAUUGCUGACAUCAAGCCAGGAGUAGAAAGUCAAGGAGCUGGCUUGUGCAGUCUGCAGCUUCAGGAGGAGCCAUUUCAAAUACUUUUACAACAGUACUGAAGAAGACCUUGAGGCCUUGAUGUUGCUGGAAACAACUCGUGGACAUUUAAAAACCAAAAUCAUAUGUAGGCAUUAAGUUUACUGUUUCUGUCAGUAGAAGACACUUCACUUGCCUGGUCAAUCAAAGUUGGAAAUCGCCCUUCAUUUAUUUAAUUUGCAGUGAGAGCACUCAGUACAUACAAGUUACUCAUUUUUCAGCACCAAGAAAACAGCAGAAAGCAGAUCAUUGCUGUUCAAAGCCAAACAAGUAUCUCCAAAACAGUAACUUUACAGAAAAGGUUUUAGAGCGUUUUUAUAGGUGCAUUCAUCAUGAAUUUUUUACACAACAUAAAGGAGAGCUGGUGUUUUGAAAUCAUGUAGAAAACAGAAAAUCAACAAAAAUGGAGAGACAUGGUUUUCUUUGGACAGCCAUGAUAUAUUUAACAGAAAAUCUCACAGGAACCUCAAUGACUAAGUAGAAUAUCAGGUUUUGUCAGUAUUUACUGUGUCCACUCUUAGAUAGAUAGAUAGAUAGAUAGAUAGAUAGAUAGAUAGAUAGAUAGAUAGAUAGAUAGAUUGACACACAUCCAGUGAUGUUGAGGUCUGGACUCUGGGGUGGUUAAUUGUUUUGAGACCACCAGCAACUUCUUUACUUGCAAAUUUUUUUUUUUUUUAUUUCUUUUGUCUUCUCACAGUGGAACAAUGGACAUAAGCACUUGUGGAUGUCUUUAGCUCUGAAGCAGCUGGAUUUUCUGGUGAUUUUUUGGUGGAUUUUUUUUUUUUUUUUAAGUGCUUUUUCUGAUACAGUUUUGGUGGCUGUCAGGUCCUUUAGGUGGUUGUUAGGAGUCCCAGUUUUUUCUCUGUGCCUUUUUAAUCAUUUUUUAAACUCUAUUUUUGGAAACCGUUUUUUUUUUUUUUUUUUUACCUUUUUUUAACUUUCACUGUCCUUAUGCAAGCUGAUUAUCUUACAUCUAAUCUCUUGCUGAAAAGUGAACAACUUGUAGCUGUUUUAACUGCCAAAGAAAGAAAUAAACAGUGGACUCCACGGUACUGAAGGUGUUAUCCAAAUCUCUGGUACUGCAUUGGUGCCAAACGGUGCAAUCUCCUAAAGUUGACUGCUUAAACUGUAUAACUUUACCCAGAGGUCAUUCGGCCAGGCUUAAAGAAUUUUCCACAGUUGCGCUGCAGCCGUGCAUAAGUCAUGUAGCUCUGCUCUUCUCUCCUUCAGUGCUUUACCUGCAGCGCUGUGUGUGUAUGUGUGUGUGCUGCACAGCAGGAGCUGUUGAAGUGUGUGUGUGGACUGCAGCAGACACCAGUUGGUAAGUGCUGCAUAUACAGAGGGCAACACAGUCAGGCACAUGUACGUACAUCCAUGUAUUCAUGCCAAGAAAAAGACAGAGGGCACAGAGUUGAAAACCUCAGCUCGCUCUCUUUCAGACAACGAUUAGACAUGCCAGUAUGCACGUACACACUUUCACCUACACAAGCUUACAAAUCCCCAGCUAACUUAAAGGAAAUUAAAGAGGGUUUUUGCAAACUUUUGGCUAAUGAAAUAGUUUAGAUGAAGUUAUUCAGGUUUGAUGUGAAAUGCUCUGAAUAGUUUACCGUGAUGGGGAUAUUUACCAGACAGCUGAAGAGUAUAAUGCCUCUAAACCAGGGCUGCAUGAAGUUUGACAUUUAAUUUGGCCUACCUGAAAGUUUCCCCAACCCCACCCGGUCACCUAAUGAGAGAACAAAUGUUUCAAUACUGUAUUUUGCGCCUGUAUCUCCAAAAUAACUUUACAGAAAAAAGGAAGAAACCUACUUUACUUUCAGUGUAAGUCAGUGGAUCCAGACUUUUUUCCAACUCAUUUUGGGUCAUGUCCAUUCAUCAUGAAAUGUACAGAACAACAGGCUUUUUCAAAUUCUGUCAAAAACGGCAAAACAAUGAAAAUGGACAAGUAUUUGUAUUUUAAGCUAUUUUAGUAACAAAAUGUAGUUUUAAUGUUAUAAAAUACAUUUCUAAAAGCUUGACCAAAACCUGCCUACCUUCUUUAUUUGUAUACUGUAUACUGUGUUUUUAGGCCUUGGCCCACCUUAAACAUUGCACUUUUGCCCCCCUAAGAGAGGACGUUUUUGGCAUCCUGCUUCAAAAGCUACCUCAUAGAUUAUUACAUUAAAUAGAGAGGACAUUGUUUGGCCAUAGAUUUGAGAAGGCUUUGGGCUUUGGCCUUAAUUUAUGUAUAUGCAGGGCAAUCAUUUCUCAGACAUUGUGACCCCUGGUUACUAUCACCACCACUGUAGUGGUGUUUCUCUGCAUUGAAUCAUUUUGCAUCAAACUACUCUUUGACUUUGUUUAUAGUGAUUGAAUUACGGAGAAAUUUUGGAAGACGUCUUAAAAACGUCCCCGUUUCUCUGCAUGUAUUUGCCCUUUUGCAGCAGAACUUGUUUUAAAACUGCAAAAUGAUCAAUAAAUCGAAAUAUUUUGAACAUAAAUCUUUUGUCUGUCGUCUUU